rnacentral:rRNA from 1 species
GAUGAACGCUGGCGGCGUGCCUAAUACAUGCAAGUCGAGCGGACAGACGAGGAGCUUGCUCCUUUGACGUUAGCGGCGGACGGGUGAGUAACACGUGGAUAACCUACCUAUAAGACUGGGAUAACUUCGGGAAACCGGAGCUAAUACCGGAUAACAUGUUGAACCGCAUGGUUCAACAGUGAAAGACGGUCUUGCUGUCACUUAUAGAUGGAUCCGCGCCGCAUUAGCUAGUUGGUAAGGUAACGGCUUACCAAGGCAACGAUGCGUAGCCGACCUGAGAGGGUGAUCGGCCACACUGGAACUGAGACACGGUCCAGACUCCUACGGGAGGCAGCAGUAGGGAAUCUUCCGCAAUGGGCGAAAGCCUGACGGAGCAACGCCGCGUGAGUGAAGGAGGUCUUCGGAUCGUAAAACUCUGUUAUUAGGGAAGAACAAAUGUGUAAGUAACUAUGCACGUCUUGACGGUACCUAAUCAAAAAGCCACGGCUAACUACGUG